ACUUUUACUAUUUAAUUACCAUUAUAGUGGGGGGAGAGAGAGAUAGGAAAGUGGAAAACAAAGACAAACAAGAAUCAAAACAAAUAGAAACAGAGAGGUCUCUUGCAUCCUUCCCCUUCCCCUUCCCCUUCCCCUUCCUCAACAGCCACCUCGCAUCUCCUUCUCCUUCCUUCCGUUUAGAUUGAUUCUUGAUUAUUAAUAGCAUCUCUCUCUUGUCUAAUCUGCACUAGUAAUAAUAGAUAGGAGGAGAGAAGGAGGGGGUGAGAUAUGACGGGGUCAGGUUCAUUGUCAUCUCCGCUCUGCACGUGGAUUGUCGCGGCGUGCAUGUCGGUCACGUGCGCUAAGGAAAGCAAGCACGCUCUGUCUCCACCAUCCUCGACUACUGGUAAUAGAAGUCGCAGGCGGAAGGCUGCUGCUGCUGCUGCUUUGAAAUGCAAUAGCAAUAACAAGUACAACAACUACGGCAGCGGUAUGGGUGGAGGAGGACCGAGCCUGCAAGGAUUAGUGAGCUCUUGCUUGGCCUUUGAACCUUGUAGUCAUUACUACGCUUCUAAUGGACUCCUGAGAUCCAAUCGCAAGCUAAGACGACUCCAUCCUCCCGCUCUUUCCGGGCAAGCCAUGGCUGUAGCUGUGCAACCUACAAAGGAAGUUGAGACAAAAAAGAAACCACAUACAAAGCAAAAGCGAGUAGUUGUGACAGGGUUGGGUGUGGUGUCACCUCUUGGUCAUGAACCAGAUGUCUUCUACAACAAUCUUCUUGAAGGUGUCAGUGGCGUAUCUCAGAUAGAGGCUUUUGACUGUGCUCAAUUUUCCACGAGAAUUGCUGGAGAAAUCAAGUCUAUCUCGACUGAUGGAUGGGUUUCACCAAAACUGGCUAAGAGAAUGGAUAAAUUCAUGCUUUAUAUGCUUAUUGCUGGUAAAAAAGCUUUGGCAGAUGGUGGGAUUACUGAGGAUGUGAUGGAUGAGUUAAAUAAAGCUAAGUGUGGAGUUUUGAUUGGCUCAGCAAUGGGUGGGAUGAAGGUUUUCAAUGAUGCAAUUGAAGCUUUAAGGAUCUCGUACAAGAAGGUGAAUCCUUUUUGUGUUCCUUUUGCCACUACAAAUAUGGGUUCUGCCAUGCUUGCAAUGGAUCUGGGAUGGAUGGGGCCAAAUUAUUCAAUUUCCACUGCUUGUGCUACCGGCAACUUCUGUAUUUUGAAUGCAGCGAACCACAUCAUUAGAGGCGAAGCUGAUGUUAUGCUUUGUGGUGGCUCAGAUUCAGCAAUUAUUCCCAUUGGAUUGGGGGGUUUUGUGGCAUGCAGAGCACUUUCGCAGAGGAAUGAUGAUCCGACAAAAGCUUCACGACCUUGGGAUAUGAAUCGGGAUGGAUUUGUCAUGGGGGAAGGAGCUGGUGUUCUGCUUCUAGAAGAAUUAGAACAUGCUAAGAAAAGAGGUGCCAAUAUCUAUGCAGAGUUUCUUGGAGGGAGCUUUACUUGUGAUGCUUAUCACAUGACUGAGCCACGUCCUGAUGGGGCUGGUGUCAUUCUCUGCAUAGAAAAGGCAUUAGCACAGUCUGGGGUAGCUAAAGAGGAUGUGAAUUACAUUAAUGCACAUGCUACAUCCACACCAGCAGGAGACCUCAAAGAGUAUCAUGCUCUCAUGCAUUGUUUUGGCCGCAACUCUGGUUUGAGGGUGAACUCAACGAAAUCUAUGAUUGGUCACUUACUGGGAGCAUCUGGUGCUGUGGAAGCCAUUGCUGCAGUACAGGCAAUACGGACAGGAUGGGUUCAUCCAAAUAUCAAUCUAGAAAAUCCAGAGCAAGGCAUGGACACGAGUGUAUUAGUGGGCCCAAAGAAAGAGAGACUAGACAUCAAGGCUGCACUGUCUAAUUCGUUUGGGUUUGGUGGCCACAACUCGUCGAUCAUUUUUGCCCCAUUCAAGUGAAAUAGAGCUUCUCCAAGAGUGUACUGGAAUCCUCACUGUAUCCUGUUUUCUGCUGAACUUGCUGAAGCUCAAUUGACCUUUGAAAUGUAACUAGUUGGACAUCUGAUAUCUCGAGGAUAGAUUGAUUAGAUGGCUAUUUGCCCGGGAAGGGAGAAUAGUCAGAUUUCACCAGGCGAGCUCGAUAUUUCCAUGCUUGCACCCGAUCAUCAGGAUCUUCUUUCCUAGAUAUUCGCUGAUCAUAACAAUGUCGUCGACUUCAUGAGUUUCCAAGAUCCGAGGAUAAGUGAGAGAAGUUGCGGUGCGGGUUCUUAUGAUGCAGGAUUUAGACUGAUUUCACUCAACAAUGUGUCGGUGAGGUUUGUUUUCAACUAAUGAGUCGCGAAAAUGGCAUGACUCCAAUCAGUUUCUUAGCAAUUAUUUGCAUGACUUGUUCUAGUUAGUUAGUUUAGUGAAGGCACAAUGCGAUGGCGUGUGCCCAAGUGAAGCAAGGCAUUUCGUUUAUCUUGGAAUUUAUGAUUAUAUUACAAGAAAGAUGACAGGUUCAAGUGUAUGUAUAAAAAAUUAACAAAAAUAAAAUUUCAUUAAGCCUA